CCCAUACUUGAGCCUGGAGGAAUGUUAAAAUUCAGCUGGAGAGGUGCCUAGUGCAACAGAAGCCUAGAUUAAAAAAAAAAAAAAAAAAAAAAGGGAUUUCAGGCAAGAGGAGAAAAUAAAGAAGCAAGACUUAAAAUGUCCUGUGAAAUGGAGAGCAUUGGGCCUCCCGGCGCAGACGUCCGUGGGAGAUGACUCCUUUAGAAAGCGAGGAACCAAAUUGUGAAGACAUCUGUUCUGUUAUUAAUUUCACAUAAAUCUUAAGCUCCUCAAGGCCAGAAAUGAGGCUUCAUUCACGUCGAAUUAAUGAAACAUGAUUGAAAUCAGUGCUGAAUAUUCACUGGAAGGACUGAUGCUGAAACUGAAGCUCCAAUACUUUGGU